rnacentral:rRNA from 1 species
UACGGAGACUGCAAGCGUUACUCGGAUUUACUGGGCGUAAAGGGUGUGCAGGCGGCCAUGUGUGUUAGAUGUGAAAUCUCGGAGCUCAACUCCGAAACUGCGUCUAAAACUGCAUGGCUAGAGUCUUGGAGAGGUAAGCGGAAUUCCUGGUGUAGCGGUGAAAUGCGUAGAUAUCAGGAGGAACACCAAAGGCGAAGGCAGCUUACUGGACAAGUACUGACGCUCAGGCACGAAAGCGUGGGUAGCGAAA